rnacentral:tRNA from 1 species
AUAUAUAUAGCUCAAUUGGUAGAGCAUCAGACUUUUAAUCUGAGGGUUGUGGAUU